rnacentral:lncRNA from 1 species
UUACAAUGUUCAGGAACUCCCAAUUUUCUGUUUUAGGAAAAAAGUAAAUUGAAUGUUAUAUGUGGGGUCGGUGUGGAGGAAAAGUUAAAUAUUAAAUUUGAAUUCAAUUAAACAUGGACAAAAACAAUGAUCACCAAUUCCCAGAACAGGUUGUGUGAGCCCCUUGAGACGUUCAUCCGCACUGUUUCGGAGAAAUCUCUAUUUCAAUCUAUUCCUAUACGUUAGUUAUUGAAAAACAAUAGACAAUCACAAAACAAGUUCACCUUUUUGUGUUCCUUGAGCUCAGUCAGGAAGGGCCCUCAUGACUGGGCCUCAUGCCAAAAAACUAGUUACAAAGAAGCUAGAGUUCCAGACUGCGCCUAAGCUUCAUGAGACCUCUCCUCGUCUGCACAGACGAGUGGCCAACACUGGAGCCCAGGCUAUUGCUUCCCAGUCUGGUGGUGAAUCGUCCAUAGUCUGGGACAGGCAGGGGAGCCCAGCGGCAUGCUGGAUAUGAAUGUAUCUUCAGCCUUCAAGUUACCAUUGGCCAGAGGGAAGAGUGGCCCCAAACUCUGAAGAGCGCUGGCAAGGCUCCCCAUCUUCCUCUCCCUAGCCUCCACAGGAACAUCACAGUAUGGCUUGGCAUUUUUUUUUUUUUUUUGAGACGGAGUCUCACUCUGUCACCCAGGCUGGAGUGCAGUGGUGUGAUCUCAGCUCACUGCAAGCUCUGCCUCCCGGGUUCAUGCCAUUCUCCUGCCUCAGCCUCCCGAGUAACUGGGACUACAGGCGCCCGCCACCACGCCCAGCUAAUUUUUUGUAUUUUUAGUAGAGACGGGGUUUCACUGUGUUAGCCAGGAUGGUCUCAAUCUCCUGACCUUGUGAUCUGCCCGCCUCAGCCUCCCAAAGUGCUGGGAUGACAGGCGUGAGCCACGCGCCCAGCCUGGCUUGGCAUCUUUAGGGCAGAUCUCAGUAUGCCUUGCAUUCCAAUUCAUCUCCAGAAUCCUACACUUCCUCCAAGGUCAGUCCUCAUGCGAGUCUCCAACCUCAUCCCCACUUCAUUUUCCUCAUUGUACUUACCAUCUUUUAUUCGUAUCCCACCAAAUUUUGGCUUUGUUAGCUAUACUGCAAAUAGUAGAUGCUCAAUAAACUACUAGUGAAUGAAUGAACUUGGAAAAAAAAGCUUACACAGAAAUCUGUACUGGAUGUUAUUUAAAAGAUGAAAUUUCAUGGUUCAAAUGUAUUUUUCUCCC